rnacentral:rRNA from 1 species
GAUGAACGCUGGCGGCGUGCCUAAUACAUGCAAGUCGAGCGAACAGACGAGGAGCUUGCUCCUCUGACGUUAGCGGCGGACGGGUGAGUAACACGUGGAUAACCUACCUAUAAGACUGGGAUAACUUCGGGAAACCGGCGCUAAUACCGGAUAAUAUAUUGAACCGCAUGGUUCAAUAGUGAAAGACGGUUUUGCUGUCACUUAUAGCUGGAUCCGCGCCGCAUUAGCUAGUUGGUAAGGUAACGGCUUUCCACGGCAACGAUGCGUAGCCGACCGGAGAGAGGGAUCGGCGGCACUGGAGCUGAGACACGGUCCAGAGUCCUACGGUAGGCAGCAGAAGGGAAUCUGCCGCAACAGGCGAAAGCCUGACGGAGCAACGCCACGUGAGUGAUGAAGGUCUUCCGAGCGUAAAACUCUGUUAUUAGGGAAGAACAAAUUUGUAAGUUACUGUGCACGUCUUGACGGUACCUAAUCAGAAAGCCACGGCUAACUACGUG